rnacentral:lncRNA from 1 species
AUGGGGUGUCCUGGGCCCACGUGUACCCCAAAAGUCAGGGGUCCUCUCAGUAUUUAUGGGGUGUUUGGGUACCAGAAGUUGGGGGCCCCGUAUGGAACACAAAAGUUGGGGGUCUCACUCGUUUAUGGGGUACCCUGGGCCAAUAUGGACCCCAACAAGUCUGGGGUCCCAUGUGGACCCCAGAAGUCGGGGAUCCCUUUUGUUUAUGGGGUGACCUGGGCUCAUGUGGGUGCCAAAUGUGGGGGUCUCCUCCUGUCUUGGGGGUCCCAUCUGUGCCCCAUAAGUUGGGGGUCCCUCUCCUAUAUGGGGUACCCUGGUUCCAAGUGUACCCCAAAACUUGGGGGGUCCCAUAGGCUGUUCCUUGGGUAUCCUGGACCCACAUGGACCCCAAAUGUGGGGCCCCCCCUCGUUUAUGGGGUGUCCUGGCCCUAUUUGUACCCCAAAUGUUGGGAUUCCCCCUUAUUUAUGGGGUGCCUGGGCCCACCUGUACCCCAAAACUUGGGGGUCCCCUUCAUUUAUGGAGUGCCCCGGACCCAUCUGUACCCCCAAGAGUUGGGGGUCCCCCUCAUUUAUGGGGUGCCCCGGCCCCACUUGUACCCCAAAAGUCAGCGACCCCCCCCCAUUUAUGGGCUGCCCCACGUCUUCAGCCCCCCACAAUUAGGGGAUCCCUUUACCUAUAUGGGGUGCCCGGUCCCAUCUGUACCCCAAAAGUUGGGGGUCCCCCUCAUUUAUGGGGUGCCCCGGUCCCAUCUACACCCCAUAAGUCGGGUGGGGGUCCCAUGUGCACCUCGAAAUCCGGGGGUCCCCCUCGUUUGUGGGGUGUCUGGGUCUCUCGCGCACCCCAAAACUCAGGGUUCCACGUGGACCCCAUAACUCAGGGGUCCCCCUUAUUUAUGGGGUGCCCUGUGUUCUCAGUACCCUAAUGGGGUCACGUCUGGACCCACAGACUCGGGGGUCGCCUUCAUUGAUGGGGUCCCAUCCUCACCCCAUAACGUGGGGGUCCCAUGUGGCCCCCGAAAUUCGGGCCCCGCUCCUUUAUGGGGUGCCCAGGUACCUCGUGUGCCCCAUAACUGGGGGGUCCCCCUUUGUUUAUGGGGUGCUGCUGGGGGUCCCAUUUGCACCCCGAUACUCAGGGACCCCCCCUCACUGUUCCUUGGGUGCCCUUAUGGACCCCAAUAGGACCCCGUUUGAACCCCCAAACUUGGGGGUCGCUCUCGUUUAUGGGGUGCCUGGGUACCCCAAAACCUGGGGGGUCUCACAUGCACACCGAUACUCGGGGGUCCCCCUCCUUGAAGAGGUCCCCCCCCCUCCAUUGAGCACCCCAAUAUUAGGGGACCCCCUCCCCAUUUGGGUGGGGGGGCUGCACUGGUGACUGUACCCCACAACUCUGGGAUCCCCCCACCCCCGGCAUUAUGGACCCUAAAACCCCCUCCUCUUUAUGGGGCCCCCUCUGCACCCCCACAGCCCUGGGACCCCCCCACAUUUCCAGGACCCCUCCCCACUUUAUGGGGUCCCUCUGUGCCCCCUAAAACUCGGGGAACCCCCCCUCCCUCCCCUUCCCCUUUAUAGGGUCUCCCCUCUGCACCCCACAGCUCUGGGACCCCCCCCUUCUUCCCCUCCCUCACCUUUAUGGGGACCCCGCUGCACUCCACAGCCUUGGGACCCCUCCCCAUUUUAUGGGAUCCUCUUUGUGCACCCCACAACUCUGGGACCCCUACCCUCCACACUUAUAGGGUCCCUCUGCACCCCACAGCCCUGGGACCCCCCCACAUUUCCAGGACCCCUCCCCACUUUAUGGGGUCCCUCUGUGCACCCCACAACUCUGGGACCCCCUCUCCCUCCCCUUCCCCUUUAUGGGGUCCCCUCUGCACCC